CACGUAAAUUAUUCAUUUGUCAAUGAGAAGAUAGGACUAAAAACUGAUGAGAAUACAAGCAGAAAUCUCCUACCCAUGUUUGUUCAUGAAGAAAGUGAUUCACCACUUAUUUUGCUCUUACCUGUGCAAAUCUUGGAACCUUGGAUUGCUGCUUCAAUCUCCUCCUGACAUGAGAUGAAGAAGCAAGACUUGUUUUCUUUUGUCAAGACACAUGGACAUCUGAGGAUCAGACACCUUCUGCAUAUUACUGCCAUCAAAGUAGUUACUUAGAGUACAAGGCAUCAACAGAAGGAAUUCUCUUUUACAAAGAAGAAACAAACAGAGAGAAGAUCCAGCCUAGGUGUGAGAGACAGUAACCAAUAGGAUGGCUUGGUUUUGAUUCCUGAAUGGAAUAAACAGGAAACAAGAAUGGAAGGCUCACUUCUGUUUCUUUCAAGGAGCUCCAACCUUCACCUUCAGCUUGGAUGCCAUCUUUUGGAUUCUGGUACAGCCCCUUCAGACUUCUAUCACAGACACUUGCUUCCUUUUAUGGACUCACACAGGAUAGUGUAGUGAGAGCCAUGCUUUUGACUAGAUCCUUGAGCUCUCCAGCACACUUUUGCACUUUUCCACACAUGACUCUUCAGGUGGCCAUUGUAAUCCAAUCUUGUAAAUUCAUAUGUAUUUGUAUAACUUGUAUUAAAUCUAUUUCUCUAUUAAGCACUGACUAACACAGAU